rnacentral:rRNA from 1 species
UACGUAGGGUGCAAGCGUUGUCCGGAAUUAUUGGGCGUAAAGAGCUCGUAGGUGGCGGGUCACGUCGGGUGUGAAAGCCCGGGGCUUAACCCCGGGUCUGCAUUCGAUACGGGCCUGCUAGGGUCCGGCAGGGGAGACUGGAAUUCCUGGUGUAGCGGUGAAAUGCGCAGAUAUCAGGAGGAACACCGGUGGCGAAGGCGGCCUUCUGGACAGUGACUGACGCUGAGACGCGAAAGCGUGGGGAGCGAACAGG